UACGUAGGGGGCGAGCGUUGUCCGGAUUUACUGGGCGUAAAGCGCGUGUAGGCGGCUUCUUAAGUCGGGUGUGAAAGCCCGGGGCUCAACCCCGGGAUGCCGCCCGAGACUGGGAGGCUUGAGGUCGGAAGAGGGGAGUGGAAUUCCAGGUGUAGCGGUGAAAUGCGUAGAGAUCUGGAGGAACACCGGUGGCGAAGGCGGGUCUCUGGGCCGAUACUGACGCUGAGGAGCGAAAGCGUGGGGAGCGAACAGG
rnacentral:rRNA from 1 species